UACAGAGGGGGGCAAGCGUUGUUCGGAAUUACUGGGCGUAAAGGGCGCGUAGGCGCCUUCUAAGUCGAACGUGAAAUCCCCGGGCUCAACCCGGGAACUGCGUCCGAUACUGGAAGGCUUGAAUCCGGGAGAGGGAUGCGGAAUUCCAGGUGUAGCGGUGAAAUGCGUAGAUAUCUGGAGGAACACCGGUGGCGAAGGCGGCAUCCUGGACCGGCAUUGACGCUGAGGCGCGAAAGCCAGGGGAGCAAACGGG
rnacentral:rRNA from 1 species